GCCCGGGCCACGCGCGCCGCCGCCGCCGCCCACGCGCGACCCUCGGGGGCCCGGCCGCGACGCCCCUUUGUCCGGGGGGGGCCCCGCUUCAUGCCACCGCCCCCCACGCGCCGCGUGCCCGGCCUCGCCCAGCAGGGUUUCCAGGCCUGACGUGCCCGCCCUGGCCCCAGGAGAAUGAACCAGCCGCAGAGGAUGGCGCCUGUGGGCACAGACAAGGAGCUCAGUGACCUCCUGGACUUCAGCAUGAUGUUCCCGCUGCCUGUCACCAACGGGAAGGGCCGGCCCGCCUCCCUGGCCGGGACGCAGUUUGGAGGUUCAGGUCUUGAGGACCGGCCCAGCUCAGGUUCCUGGGGCAGCGGCGACCAGAACAGCUCCUCCUUUGACCCCAGCCGGACCUUCAGCGAGGGCACCCACUUCACUGAGUCGCACAGCAGCCUCUCUUCAUCCACAUUCCUGGGACCGGGACUGGGAGGCAAGAGCGGCGAGCGGGGUGCCUAUGCCUCCUUUGGGAGAGACGCAGGCGUGGGCGGCCUGACUCAGGCUGGCUUCCUGUCGGGCGAGCUGGCCCUCAGCAGCCCCGGGCCCCUGUCUCCUUCGGGCAUGAAGGGGACCUCCCAGUACUACCCCUCCUACUCCGGCAGCUCCCGGCGGAGAGCGGCAGACGGCAGCCUGGACACGCAGCCCAAGAAGGUCCGGAAGGUCCCGCCGGGUCUCCCAUCCUCGGUGUACCCUCCCAGCUCAGGUGAGGACUAUGGCAGGGAUGCCGCCACCUACCCGUCCGCCAAGACCCCCAGCAGCGCCUAUCCCGCCCCCUUCUACAUGGCAGAUGGCAGCCUGCACCCCUCAGCCGAGCUCUGGAGUACCCCGGGCCAGGCGGGCUUCGGGCCCAUGCUGGGUGGGGGCUCAUCCCCCCUGCCCCUCCCACCCGGCAGCGGCCCUGUGGUCAGCAGUGGAAGCAGCAGCACGUUUGCUGGCCUGCACCAGCACGAGCGCAUGGGCUACCAGCUGCAUGGAGCAGAGGUGAACGGUGGGCUCCCGGCUGCAUCCUCCUUCUCCUCGGCCCCUGGAGCCACGUACGGUGGCGUCUCCAGCCACACGCCGCCUGUCAGCGGGGCCGACAGCCUCCUGGGCUCCCGAGGGACCACAGCCGGCAGCUCCGGGGAUGCCCUCGGGAAAGCACUGGCCUCGAUCUACUCCCCGGAUCACUCAAGCAAUAACUUCUCGUCCAGCCCUUCCACCCCCGUGGGCUCCCCUCAGGGCCUGGCAGGGACGUCGCAGUGGCCUCGCGCAGGAGCCCCCGGUGCCUUAUCGCCCAGCUACGACGGGGGUCUCCACGGCCUGCAGAGUAAGAUAGAAGACCACCUGGACGAGGCCAUCCACGUGCUCCGCAGCCACGCCGUGGGCACAGCCGGCGACAUGCACACGCUGCUACCUGGCCACGGGGCGCUGGCCUCGGGUUUCGCCAGCCCCAUGUCGCUGGGCGGGCGGCAUGCAGGCCUGGUAGGAGGCGGACACCCCGAGGAUGGCCUUGCAGGCAGCACCAGCCUCAUGCACAACCACGCGGCCCUCCCCAGCCAGCCAGGCGCCCUCCCCGACCUCUCUCGGCCUCCCGACUCCUACAGUGGGCUAGGGCGAGCAGGUGCCACGGCGGCCGCUGGCGAGAUCAAGCGGGAGGAGAAGGAGGAUGAGGAGAACACGUCGGCAGCUGACCACUCGGAGGAGGAGAAGAAGGAGCUGAAGGCCCCCCGGGCCCGGACCAGCCCAGACGAGGACGAGGACGACCUUCUCCCCCCAGAGCAGAAGGCCGAGCGGGAGAAGGAGCGCCGGGUGGCCAAUAACGCCCGGGAGCGGCUGCGGGUCCGUGACAUCAACGAGGCCUUUAAGGAGCUGGGGCGCAUGUGCCAGCUGCACCUCAACAGCGAGAAGCCCCAGACCAAACUGCUCAUCCUGCACCAGGCCGUCUCGGUCAUCCUGAACUUGGAGCAGCAAGUGCGAGCAGUACGGAGGAGGUGCUGUCCCUGGAGGAGAAAGACCUGAGGGACCGGGAGAGGCGCAUGGCCAAUAACGCCCGGGAGCGGGUGCGCGUGCGGGAUAUUAACGAGGCCUUCCGGGAGCUGGGGCGCAUGUGCCAGAUGCACCUCAAGUCGGACAAAGCGCAGACCAAGCUGCUCAUCCUGCAGCAGGCCGUGCAGGUCAUCCUGGGGCUGGAGCAGCAGGUGCGAGAGCGGAACCUGAAUCCCAAAGCAGCUUGUUUGAAGCGGCGAGAAGAGGAAAAGGUGUCGGGCGUGGUUGGAGACCCCCAGAUGGUGCUGUCAGCUGCCCACCCAGGCCUGAGCGAAGCCCACAAUCCCGCCGGGCACAUGUGAAAGUAAACAAAACCUGACAGCGAGCAACAAAACACACACUUUGUCAGAAAAGAAAAAAAAUGCCUUAACUAUAAAAAGUGGAGAAAUGGAAACAUGUCACUCGAGGGGCUGCUGUGGAGACCCGGCUUAUGCUUCAAAAGCCACCAGCAAAUCGUGCCUAAGCCUAAUUUUUUUUUUAAGGAAAAUAAAAAGAACAUUAGUUAUAAGAUUUUUUUUUUUUUUUCUUAAUGUAGAUGAAAAUUAGCAAGGAUGCUGCCUUUGGUCUCUGGUUUUUUUUAAGCUUUUUUUUGCAUAUGUUUUGUAAGCAAAUUUUUUUGUAUAAAAGUCCCGUGUCUCGCUAUUUCUGCUGCUGUUUCUAGACUGAGCAUUGCAUUUCCUGAUCAACCAGAUGAUUAAACGUUGUAUUAAAAAGACCCCGUGUAAACCUGAGCCCCCCCGCCCCCCCGGAAGCCACUGCAUACAGACAGAACGGGGACAGGCGGCGGGUCUUUUGUUUUUUUGAUGUUGGGGUUCUCCUCUUGGUUUUGUCACGUGGAAAGCGAUGCGUGGGCGUUCCCGAUGAAGGCACCUUGGAGCUUCCCUGCCACAUCCUCUCCCCUCAGGAAGGGGGCUGACCUGGGCUUGGGGGAAGGGACGUCAGCAAGGUGGCUCUGACCCUCCCAGGUGACUCUGCCAAGCAGCUCUGGCCCCCAGGGCUACUCCACACGAUGUCCUCCCCAGGCCCCCAUAAGCUGCUCUCCCUUGGAACCUGCACACUUCUCUGAAAUGGGGCAUUUUCUUGGGACCAGUAACUCUUGGCAUGGGGACCACACCCUGGAGCUGGGUGCUGGGGACCCUCCUGGACACCCUGUCCUUCACUCCUUUGCCCCAGGGACCCAGGCUCGUGCUCUGAACUCUGACUGAGGGGACGCGGCUCAGGAGCCAUCACAGGACCCCCCACCCCCACCCCAGCAUGUCCCCAUUACACCAGAGGGCCAUCGUGAUGUAGACAGGAUGCCAGGGCCCUGGCCGGUCUCCCGCAACACUAGGGAGCAUCCCUGGGCCUGGGGCCGUACCUGCUGCCCUCCCUCUGUGGGGCCCAAGGGCAGGAGUGGCUGGAGCCAGGAGACUGUGCUGGUCUGAGCCCCACGAAGGCCUUGGGCUGCGCAACCCGGGUGCAGAACCAGCAGGGUGGUCCCUCGGGCCCAUCUGUGUCCUGUGUCCCAGCACCCAGGCCUCUGUCCAGCUCCCCUUUUCUGGUCUCUUGCCAUGAGGGUAACCAGCUCUUCCCAGCCGUCUGGGGACUGUCCUGGGUUUAAAACUGCAAGUCUCCUACCCCGAGAUUCCGUUCACUUCCACACCAACUAGGGUGAUGGUCACUGUGGCACCCAGGUGUGGGCUGGGCUAGCUGGGCACCUUCAUGUGCUCUUUAUGGCCCUCCCUGCAUUGAGGCCUUGCGGACCCCCGGCCUGGCUGUGCUCACUCCGGCAGCAGGUCAGGCGUCUGCCCCUGUGCUACCCCUGAGACUCCCACCAUUAGCCCCAGGAGAGCCUGGACUGCCUGACUCCCCUCCCCAGACUUGCUGGGGAGCCUGGGCCCCAUGGCAGAUUCAAGGGAAACCGCAAGGCCAGCUCAAGGCCUGGGAUCUGCCCCUAGUCCAGGCCAGGUGGAGGGGAGGGGCUGUCUGCCACUCCCCCUUCUCUGGGUAAGGUUUCCCCUGUGCCCUGGGGAUUUGGUCUCUUAGGGAACCUGCCUCUGUCUCCCUCUUGUUUUGAUCCUGGCCCUGCCCCUAGGUCUGGGUGGGCAGUGGCCCAGUAGCCUCUGGAACUGUGUGUUCUGCAUAGAAUUUAAACGAGAUUCACCCAGCGCCAGGAGGAAGAAACAGCAGUUCUGGGGAACCACAAUUAUGGGGGGGGGGGGGGGGUGUGCUCUGAGUGCCUCAAGAUGGUUUUCAAGAAAAUUUUUUUAAAGAAAAUAAUUUUAUACGUGUCAACACAGCUGGCUGGAUUAUUGGGACUUUUAAACGAUCCUCUUUAAAGUGGAUUCAGAGACCUGUCCUGUAUAUAACAGCACUGUAGCAAUAAAUGUGACAUUUUAUAACGAU